UACGUAGGGUGCAAGCGUUGUCCGGAAUUAUUGGGCGUAAAGAGCUCGUAGGCGGUCUGUCGCGUCGGAUGUGAAAACCCAGGGCUCAACCCUGGGCCUGCAUUCGAUACGGGCAGACUAGAGUUCGGUAGGGGAGACUGGAAUUCCUGGGGUAGCGGUGAAAUGCGCAGAUAUCAGGAGGAACACCGGUGGCGAAGGCGGGUCUCUGGGCCGAAACUGACGCUGAGGAGCGAAAGCGUGGGGAGCAAACAGG
rnacentral:rRNA from 1 species